rnacentral:rRNA from 1 species
GAUGAACGCUGGCGGCGUGCCUAAUACAUGCAAGUCGAGCGAACAGACGAGGAGCUUGCCCCUCUGACGUUAGCGGCGGACGGGUGAGUAACACGUGGAUAACCUACCUAUAAGACUGGGAUAACUUCGGGAAACCGGAGCUAAUACCGGAUAAUAUAUUGAACCGCAUGGUUCAAUAGUGAAAGACGGUUUUGCUGUCACUUAUAGAUGGAUCCGCGCCGCAUUAGCUAGUUGGUAAGGUAACGGCUUACCAAGGCAACGAUGCGUAGCCGACCUGAGAGGGUGAUCGGCCACACUGGAACUGAGACACGGUCCAGACUCCUACGGGAGGCAGCAGUAGGGAAUCUUCCGCAAUGGGCGAAAGCCUGACGGAGCAACGCCGCGUGAGUGAUGAGGGUCUUCGGAUCGUAAAACUCUGUUAUUAGGGAAGAACAAAUGUGUAAGUAACUAUGCACGUCUUGACGGUACCUAAUCAGAAAGCCACGGCUAACUACGUG